rnacentral:rRNA from 1 species
AUUGAACGCUGGCGGCAGGCUUAACACAUGCAAGUCGAGCGGUAGCACAGGGGAGCUUGCUCCCUGGGUGACGAGCGGCGGACGGGUAAGUAAUGUCUGGGAAACUGCCUGAUGGAGGGGGAUAACUACUGGAAACGGUAGCUAAUACCGCAUAACGUCGCAAGACCAAAGAGGGGGACCUUCGGGCCUCUUGCCAUCAGAUGUGCCCAGAUGGGAUUAGCUAGUAGGUGGGGUAAUGGCUCACCUAGGCGACGAUCCCUAGCUGGUCUGAGAGGAUGACCAGCCACACUGGAACUGAGACACGGUCCAGACUCCUACGGGAGGCAGCAGUGGGGAAUAUUGCACAAUGGGCGCAAGCCUGAUGCAGCCAUGCCGCGUGUGUGAAGAAGGCCUUCGGGUUGUAAAGCACUUUCAGCGAGGAGGAAGGUGGUGAUCUUAAUACGUUCAUCAAUUGACGUUACUCGCAGAAGAAGCACCGGCUAGCUCCGUG